rnacentral:rRNA from 1 species
UACGUAGAAGACUAGUGUUAGUCAUCUUUAUUAGGUUUAAAGGGUACCUAGACGGUAAAUUAAACUCUAAACGAGUACUUUUUUACUAGAGUUUUAUGUGAGAAGGAAGAAUUUCUGGAGUAGGGAUGAAAUACUUUGAUACCAGAAGGACUGGUAACGGCGAAGGCAUCCUUCUAUGUAAAAACUGACGUUGAGGGACGAAGGCUUGGGUAGCAAUAAGG